rnacentral:rRNA from 1 species
GAAAGAGAGUCAAAAAGACCGCGAAACCGUUAGGAGGGAAACGAAUGCAGCUGAAUUGGCUUCGCUCAAGUUCAGGGGCGAUGUUGAGAUGCGAUGCCGGUCUGCAAAAGCCGAAAGGUUUUGCCUUCAGGAUAGCGUCCAACUCACCUGCACUCUUGUGCGAAGCCGGCCAACAACAGUUGUUUGUGGCUGACGAGGGCAGGCGGGUAGGUAUUCAGCUCUUCGAGUUGAAACUUAUAGCCGUCAGUCUGGAAGUCUGCAAACGACUGAGGAUAACUGGCAGCACAGGCCUUCGCCUUGGGCCCCCCUGUCCGUUUGGGCACCGCUUCAGGGACUGCGUGCAGUGUCUGUUGACGGCUGUCUGCUCGGCCGGGGGCUAGGUCACACUUUGUGCUGUAGUUGUUGGUGUUCAAAUGGCUGCAUCCGACCCGUCUUGAAACACGG